rnacentral:rRNA from 1 species
AUUGAACGCUGGCGGCAGGCCUAACACAUGCAAGUCGAGCGGUAGAGAGAAGCUUGCUUCUCUUGAGAGCGGCGGACGGGUGAGUAAAGCCUAGGAAUCUGCCUGGUAGUGGGGGAUAACGUUCGGAAACGGACGCUAAUACCGCAUACGUCCUACGGGAGAAAGCAGGGGACCUUCGGGCCUUGCGCUAUCAGAUGAGCCUAGGUCGGAUUAGCUAGUUGGUGAGGUAAUGGCUCACCAAGGCGACGGUCCGUAACUGGUCUGAGAGGAUGAUCAGUCACACUGGAACUGAGACACGGUCCAGACUCCUACGGGAGGCAGCAGUGGGGAAUAUUGGACAAUGGGCGAAAGCCUGAUCCAGCCAUGCCGCGUGUGUGAAGAAGGUCUUCGGAUUGUAAAGCACUUUAAGUUGGGAGGAAGGGCAUUAACCUAAUACGUUAGUGUUUUGACGUUACCGACAGAAUAAGCACCGGCUAACUCUGUGCCAGCAGCCGCCGUAA